CUAUAUAGCUUCACCCCUAAACCCCAGAGCCCCAUCGCCGCUCUUCUUUCCUGUAAGCAUUUGCAUCUUCAUCUCUUUUGUAUUCGAAUUAGAGACUUGCUCUAGGGUUUUAGAACAGCUUCAGGGUUUUAGAAUUGAUUCAUAGUUUUUGGGUCGCUUUCGAUAGGCGUUACGUUCAUCGGCUGGUCUAUAAAUCCAGAGGGACGUGUCAACGGAAGCGUAUAUUAAACUUCGAUCGAUACCCAAUUUUCUCAAAACCGGCUACGCAUUAUUGUUCGUAGUCUGGGUAAAUUUUUUGUUGGGUCGAGGUCGAGAUAAUUUUUCAUAAAAUCAAUUUUGGGUUUUUUGUUUUGUUUUUGUUUGAUAUCAUUGUUGCUUUAUAAUGGUGAACUCCCUGUUAAUUUCGAUUGGUUGGGGAUGUUCAAGUUUCCAAAGCAUAGAGUAAUAUUGUUGCCAGUAUUAAACAGCACCGUGCAUAUUUGCUUGCACUGUGUUACCUGUCUCCUGGUACAUGUUUUAUCUUCUUCACCAAGUUUUUCAAAUUCUGAAUCUGUAACUCUGAUGUUUGAAUUUUGCAUCCAGAAGUGUGCAGUGACGAGGCUUUUUUGCGGACUAGAGUUUAUGAUCUGGGUUCUUCACCCAGAAGUUGAUUACAAACCCUUGGCUGUCUGAGCACCCAAAACCAAUUUCUAAAGGCACUUUUUUCCUAUCCUGAUGUCUCUGUUUUGUUUUGCAAGUAUUCAAGUCUUGUGUGAUUUAUUGUUUUCGACAUAUAAAUGGGGCUUAUGAUGAAAAUUUAAUCAUCUUAGCGGAUUUCCGUGAGAUCGUAGUGUCAAUGAUCUGAUUGUUACACACACUGAAGUAA
rnacentral:lncRNA from 1 species